rnacentral:misc_RNA from 1 species
GGGUCGAUGAAGAACGCAGCCAGCUGCGUGAAGUAAUGUGAAUUGCAGGACACAUUGAACAUCGACAUCUUGAACGCACAUUGCGGCCUCGGGCAUUCCCGAGGCCACGCCUGUCUCAGGGUCGGUUGAACGUAUCUAUCGCCGGUUGUUCGUUUUGCCGGCGCAUUGGAUCGUCGCGGCACGCUGUUUCUCUCUCGUGUGUGUGUGUGUGCGGCGGCGGAUGCCGCGAUGUGGACUGGGCGAGCCCGGUCGUCGGUUGUUCGUUUUGCCGACGUCCCGGGACCACCGACCGGUCUGUGUCGUGGUGACUGCUGCCGUACAUGCGGUGGCGACGGUGGCGGAUGCUGUGAUGUGGACUGGGCGAGCCCGGUCGUCGGUUGUUCGUUUUGCCGACGUCCCGGGACCACCGACCGGUCUGCGUCGCGGUGACUGCUGCCGUAUGCCGCAGCACACGAUGCGUGCCACGUCGUCCGAAGUACAGACGGGUCGGCAUUGGCCGCGCGACCGCACGUACUCAGUCCGCUUUCGGACGGGGACGGCGACUCGGUUCACACUGUGUCGUCGCCUGUCUGGAAUCGGUACGGUUGCGCAGCCGCCGUCGAUCCAAGAGAGUGACUUUGUUGUCGUUGCGACGACGACGGCGGCGGCGGCGGCGGCGGCGCCGGGCUCACGCCUGGUGCUGCUGCUGCUGCUGCUGCUGCUGUUGUUGUUGCUUCGUCGACAUUUCGUUUUCUUCGACCUGAGAUCAGACGAGAUUACCCGCUGAAUUUAAGCAUAU